GAUGAACGCUGGCGGCGUGCCUAAUACAUGCCAGUCGAGCGAACAGAUGAGGAGCUUGCUCCUCUGACGUUAGCGGCGGACGGGUGAGUAACACGUGGAUAACCUACCUAUAAGACUGGGAUAACUUCGGGAAACCGGAGCUAAUACCGGAUAAUAUAUUGAACCGCAUGGUUCAAUAGUGAAAGACGGUUUUGCUGUCACUUAUAGAUGGUUCCGCGCCGCAUUAGCUAGUUGGUAAGGUAACGGCAUACCAAGGCAACGAUGCGUAGCCGACCUGAGAGGGUGAUCGGCCACACUGGAACUGAGACACGGUCAAGACUCCUACGGGAGGCAGCAGUAGGGAAGCUGCCGCAAUGGGCGAAAGCCUGACGGAGCAACGCCGCGGGAGUGAUGAAGGUCUUCGGAUCGUAAAACUCUGUUAUUAGGGAAGAACAAAUGUGUAAGUAACUAUGCACGUCUUGACGGUACCUAAUCAGAAAGCCACGGCUAACUACGUG
rnacentral:rRNA from 1 species